CAAUAGCGUAUAUUUAAGUUGUUGCAGUUAAAAGCUCGUAGUUGGAUUUCGGUUGAGAACGGCCGGUCCGCCGUUUGGUGUGCACUGGCUGGUCUCAACUUCCUGUAGAGGACGCGCUCUGGGUUAACGCUCGGACGCGGAGUCUACGUGGUUACUUUGAGGAAAUUAGAGUGUUUCAAGCAGGCACACGCCUUGAAUACAUUAGCAUGGAAUAAUAAGAUAGGACCUUGGUUCUAUUUUGUUGGUUUCUAGAGCUGAGGUAAUGAUUAAUAGGGAUAGUUGGGGGCAUUCGUAUUUAACUGUCAGAGGUGAAAUUCUUGGAUUUAUGAAAGACGAACUUCUGCGAAAGCAUUUGCCAAGGAUGUUUUCAUUAAUCAAGAACGAAAGUUGGGGGCUCGAAGACGAUUAGAUACCG
rnacentral:rRNA from 1 species